rnacentral:piRNA from 1 species
UUGAUUCUUCACAACUUCACG